GACGAGGGGUCCAAGCGUUGUUCGGAAUCAUUGGGCGUAAAGCGGGUGUAGGCGGCUCUAUAAGUCAGAAGUGAAAGCCCCGGGCUCAACCCGGGAAGUGCUUUUGAUACUGCAGAGCUUGAAUGUGGGAGAGGGUAGUGGAAUUCCAGGUGUAGUGGUGAAAUACGUAGAUAUCUGGAGGAACACCGGUGGCGAAGGCGGCUACCUGGCCCAACAUUGACGCUGAGACCCGAAAGCAUGGGGAUCAAACAGG
rnacentral:rRNA from 1 species